GAAAUUUCUGACUUUGGCAUUGACGUCUUUUUCAGUUGUCGAUCGAAAUAGAUUCGGUUUGAAGACCGAAAACACCGAAAAUCCGAAAUGCUGAGCAAAUAAAUACGAGUCCGGAUCCGGGUGUGGCACACACACACACGGAUGUGUACAGUGCGUUUCAUGGCUGUAUGGGGUAGAUUGUCGAUUCGAUGGAUCUAUAAAGAUCUUAUCAGCAACGAAGUUCCAUUAUAUCUCCCUCACUCCGCCGUUUUCUUCAUUCUGAUCCGAUCGUUUCUGCAAUCUAAUGGAUUUUCUCGUAUUUAUAAAAUAUUGUUUCGCGUAAUGAGGAUUCUCCCUCCCCACCCACAUAUCAUUUUGAGAUUAAAUUGAUACAUUGAUACAGAUAAAACCGGUUGCUCUUAUAGCCUCUGAGAUCUGACGGGCGGACAAAGGAAUAUGGAAUAUACAAG